rnacentral:lncRNA from 1 species
UUGAAUUUAUUUUAAAAUUUUACUAUAAAUCUCCUUGUUUGUUGAGCAAUUCACUUUACAUAUACUCAAUGUUUUGUCAUCAUCAAAAAGGGGGAGAUUGUGGAGUGAUUGAUUAUAACCCUAUCUGAUUUUGAUGAGCUCAAAGCAUUUGAGUAUAUCCUAUGUUUACUAAUGAAUUCAAUCUAGUGUUUUAGUGAAAUUCUUGUAAAUUUAUGGUUAAGUGUCUCUAGAUUUGGUUCAAGACAUUUUGGAUAAGUUAAGAAAUCAAUAUGAACCAAA